rnacentral:rRNA from 1 species
GAUACUGUUGUUCUUGAGUUCGGCUGAGGUAGGCGGAAUGAGUAAUGUAGCGGUGAAAUGCUUAGAUAUUACUCAGAACACCGAUUGCGUAGGCAGCUUACCAAACCGACACUGACGCUGAGGCACGAAAGCGUGGGGAGCGAACAGGAUUAGAUACCCUGGUAGUCCACGCCGUAAACGUUGAUUACUCGUUGUUGGCAAUACAUCGUCAGCGACUGAGCGAAAGCAUUAAGUAAUCCACCUGGGGAGUACGUCAGCAAUGAUGAAACUCAAAGGAAUUGACGGGGGCCCGCACAAGCGGAGGAACGUGUGGUUUAAUUCGAUGAUACGCGAGGAACCUUACCUGGGCUUAAAUGUAGAGUGCAUAGAGUGGAAACAUUCUUUUCCUUCGGGACUCUUUACAAGGUGCUGCAUGGUUGUCGUCAGCUCGUGCCGUGAGGUGUCGGAUUAAGUCCCAUAACGAGCGCAACCCUCAUCGCCAGUUGCCAUCACAUCAUGGUGGGGACUCUGGUGAAACUGCCGGUGCAAACCGUGAGGAAGGUGAGGAUGACGUCAAAUCAGCACGGCCCUUAUGUCCAGGGCUACACACGUGUUACAAUGGUCGGUACAACGGGCAGCUACACAGCGAUGUGGUGCUAAUCCUAAAAACCGAUCUUAGUUCGGAUCGGAGUCUGCAACUCGACUCCGUGAAGCUGGAUUCGCUAGUAAUCG